GAAAAAAGGAUGACAUUUCCGAGCUACAAAAGUAAAAUAAUUGCUAGAAAUUAUUUUGGGAUUAAUCCCAGAAGGUUUCAAAGAUAUAUGGAAAAGUCAAAAUUUUUCAACUUUUUAAACUCAGAAAUUUCCUUUUUUUUUUCUAGAAAUUUUCUGAGGUUAGUAAAAAAACAGAUUUUUUUUUUCUAGUAAAUUUUCAACUCCUGAAAAUUUCCGAGAUGAUGUUUUGGAUCUUCCUGGUUCUCGGCUGUUCAGCUCCACGCAGGACAAAACACGCAUUUCAGAGUUUCUGCACAAUCGCAGGAAAACUCUCGGUCCAGUCAGCGGCUCAGACGAACCUUUCCUGUGAGUGAUGGAGGAGCCGCGGCUCGUCUUGACGGGACACGUCCUGGACGCCUGUCUGCCGGUACGGGAGCCGGGAGGAAGCGGCUGGAUCCAUAAACAUUCCAAUCUGAGCAGCUGAGUGACGGACCGGACCGGACCGGAUGGGGAAACCAUGCUGGGUCUUCAUACGGCAGCAGCAACAAACCGUGACACAGUAAAAUGAGAAAAUCUUCAUGAGAAGUUCUUAUUUUAGAUGUUUUUAGCUAGCUAGAAAUUCAAGCUAGC